AUUGAACGCUGGCGGCAGGCCUAACACAUGCAAGUCGAGCGGAUGAAGGGAGCUUGCUCCUGGAUUCAGCGGCGGACGGGUGAGUAAUGCCUAGGAAUCUGCCUGGUAGUGGGGGAUAACGUCCGGAAACGGGCGCUAAUACCGCAUACGUCCUGAGGGAGAAAGUGGGUGAUCUUCGGACCUCACGCUAUCAGAUGAGCCUAGGUCGGAUUAGCUAGUUGGUGGGGUAAAGGCCUACCAAGGCGACGAUCCGUAACUGGUCUGAGAGGAUGAUCAGUCACACUAGAACUGAGACACGGUACAGACUCCGACGGGAGGCAGCAGUGGGGAAUAUUGGACAAUGGGCGAAAGCCUGAUCCAGCCAUGCCGCGUGUGUGAAGAAGGUCUUCGGAUUGUAAAGCACUUUAAGUUGGGAGGAAGGGCAGUAAGUUAAUACCUUGCUGUUUUGACGUUACCAACAGAAUAAGCACCGGCUAACUUCGUG
rnacentral:rRNA from 1 species